UACGGGGGGAGCAAGCGUUGUUCGGAUUUACUGGGCGUAAAGGGCGCGUAGGCGGUAGCACAAGUCAGUUGUGAAAUCUCCGGGCUUAACUCGGAAAGGUCAACUGAUACUGUGCGACUAGAGUGCAGAAGGGGCAACUGGAAUUCUUGGUGUAGCGGUGAAAUGCGUAGAUAUCAAGAGGAACACCUGCGGCGAAGGCGGGUUGCUGGGCCGACACUGACGCUGAGGCGCGAAAGCUAGGGGAGCGAACGGG
rnacentral:rRNA from 1 species